rnacentral:rRNA from 1 species
GACGAACGCUGGCGGCGUGCCUAAUACAUGCAAGUAGAACGCUGAAGGAGGAGCUUGCUUCUCUGGAUGAGUUGCGAACGGGUGAGUAACGCGUAGGUAACCUGCCUGGUAGCGGGGGAUAACUAUUGGAAACGAUAGCUAAUACCGCAUAAUAGUAGAUGUUGCAUGACAUUUGCUUAAAAGGUGCAAUUGCAUCACUACCAGAUGGACCUGCGUUGUAUUAGCUAGUUGGUGAGGUAACGGCUCACCAAGGCAACGAUACAUAGCCGACCUGAGAGGGUGAUCGGCCACACUGGGACUGAGGCACGGCCCAGACUCCUACGGGAGGCAGCAGUAGGGAAUCUUCGGCAAUGGACGGAAGUCUGACCGAGCAACGCCGCGUGAGUGAAGAAGGUUUUCGGAUCGUAAAGCUCUGUUGUAAGAGAAGAACGAGUGUGAGAGUGGAAAGUUCACACUGUGACGGUAUCUUACCAGAAAGGGACGGCUAACUACGUG